GCUCUGCAAUCUCCCAGAAUGCCGCAUCCGUCUGAAGCACUCCGGAGAAAGACUACAGGUCCCAUGCAACCCUGCAGUUAGCCUGAAGUACUAUCAUUGGGCUACCACAAAAUGUCUGCGGGCCAGUGGCGCAAUGGAUAACGCGUCUGACUACGGAUCAGAAGAUUCCAGAUGUAAAGAAACACCUGCCCGCGCGCGCACCCCUCAGAGAAAAGGAAUUCAUGAGCGAUUACAGUGCCCAGGAGUCAUGAAACUGCCUCGCGGAGGGCCGAGAGAACCUACGUUUCCCCCUGUCAACAGCUGGAAAAGAAGGAAAUGGCACAGGCAAGGAAGAACCUCGGAAGGGAACGGGAAACACGUACCUGAGGCAAGAAGCCCACAGACGUUGAGGACCCUCCAGGCCAAUCUGUGGAGGCAUUUUCUCAGCUGAAGUUCCCUCUGCCUUGUGUCAGCUUUGACAAAACAAACAAACAAACAAAUAAACAAAAAAGUUAAAAGGCACUGACAGAAUUCAGGGACUCGGUAGCAAGGAACCGGGAGGGGGAAAUAGUAAUGCCACGCAGCAGCGUUUUGCCCUUGAAGUGGGAGAGUUCAGGGAGAAUCGGAUUUGGGGUUCGGGGUGCAGACUGGCCAUCCAGAGAGCGCCGUGUGAUAGAGAGCUGCAGGGACAAUGAUCUGAACCACACGUAUUUGGACGUUUCCAGACAGGAGUCUUGACUAGUGAGGUCACCAUGGAUUAUGGAGGACAGUGCUCUUAGCAACACAGGAAGGCGUGGAGAAAAUAGGCUCUAAGGAACCCUGGGUAACCAUUUGCCAAAAUGUAGUCCAAGAAGCCAGGCAGUGGUGGCACACGCCUUUAAACCCCAGCACUGAGGAGGCAGAGGCAAGAAAAUCUCUGUGAGGUCAAGGCCAGCCGGGUCUACAGAGUGACUUCCUGGACAGCUAGGGCUACGCAGAGACACCCUGUCUUGCUAUGUAGUCCUGGGGGGCCUGAAACUGACUAUGUAAUCCAGGUUGGACUUUAACUCACCAUAAUCCUCCUGUCUCUGCCUCCCAAAUGCCGGAAUUACAGGUGUAAGCUUCCAUACCCAGCCUACAAAAAUGUUCUCAGUUUUUGUUGUUGUUGUUAUUGGAGGUGGUGUAUGUGUUUCUUGUUUGUUUGAAUUGGGAUGGAAACUAUGUAACCCAGGCUGACCUCACCCUCCUAAGUGCUAGUAUUAAACCUGGGUCUGUUAUAAUUUGGGGAAUGUCUAUUGAUAAAAUAUACAAGAUGGGGCCAGGCGUUUCAGGAGGCAGAGGCAGGUGGGUCUCUGUGGGUUUGAGACCAGCCUGAUCUACAAGAGCUAGUUCCAGGACAGCCUCCAAAGUUACACAGGGAAACCCUGUCUCGAAGAAAAAAAAAAACAAGA